ACCCAGACUCCUACGGGAGGCAGCAGUGGGGAAUAUUGGGCAAUGGGCGCAAGCCUGACCCAGCAACGCCGCGUGAAGGAAGAAGGCUUUCGGGUUGUAAACUUCUUUUCUGGGGGACGAAGAAAGUGACGGUACCCCAGGAAUAAGCCACGGCUAACUACGUGCCAGCAGCCGCGGUAAUACGUAGGUGGCAAGCGUUAUCCGGAUUUAUUGGGUGUAAAGGGCGUGUAGGCGGGAAUGCAAGUCAGAUGUGAAAACUAUGGGCUCAACCCAUAGCCUGCAUUUGAAACUGUAUUUCUUGAGUGCUGGAGAGGCAAUCGGAAUUCCGUGUGUAGCGGUGAAAUGCGUAGAUAUUAGGAGGAACGCCAGUGGCGAAGGCGGCCUGCUGGACGACAACUGACGGUGAGGCGCGAAAGCGUGGGGAGCACACAGGAUUAGAUACCCCUGUAA
rnacentral:rRNA from 1 species